UUUCCUGUGUCCGUGCUUGGUUUUGUAAUGCAUUUCAGCAGAUUUAUAUGGGUCCAGAUUUUAAAAUGGGAGUAUGGAAAUAAAAGACGUUAUCACGUAACAUGCACUUCUCACCCUGUCAGAUCAGCACCUGUUGUGCCCAAGAUUGCGAAUGCGAGAAAACCGCCAAGGAGCCGAGGCCGAUGCAAGUACAUGAGGGUUUAUUGAGAAGCUCGAGCUUGGGUCCAAGUACACCCGACACAGCGGAGCAGGGACUUGGAACCUGAGGUUAUUGACUACUGCUGAUGGAUGAGGCGAAAUACUCACAGUGCCAGGAAGAAAUGAAUUCGCUGGUACUGCCAGGAGAAGAGACCAGCGCGGCUAAAAUAGGCGAUGACCAUGGACAAGAGAUACUGGCGGAAAGAGGAGAAAAGCCGUCAUAGAAGGGUCCCAUCCUGGGAGAGGAAGACCAGUGAGUGGCAUCGGGGUACAAAGAUGGCCUGUCCUCCCCUCCCCGCCCCCGCCCCGACACAGCCGAAGGCACUUAGAUUCAAAAGGCCAGUAAGCGCUAAGAUGUCUCAGGAGUGCAACUGCAGCUAAGCUUUCUCAUCCCUCUGUCAUUUUUAAGUGUCCCCGAUGAGGGGUCAGUAUGGAGUCCUCCAAGGAUGGAGAGAGAGAGCUCAGCGACCUGCAAAGAAUUAUUUUCCAUUGGAAAAGCGUCGCCGUUGGAAGUUUCUGGUGUUUUCAGGAAAAAAGAAUAAGGUUGGAGGGUGCUGUUCCUACCGAGCAGCCUGUUGAACGCCUCGUGGUGCUCAGGGAGCACUGAAGAUAGCCGCUGUCUCUUCAGCUUCAUCUUGAGGCCACUCAGUGUCUCCACCACCCAGAUGUCGUUGGCCUCAGGGGCUGUCUCCUCAUCGGAUUCGAUGUCUCUCUUCCUUCCGCGGGACUGAGGCAAGGGGCAGGGGUCUACAAAGGGGGCUGAGUGAAGAAACCAGGCUACAGUACAAAGCUUCUGUCUUUGGAAUUCAGCCACGCUUUCCACACCCCCAAACCCAAACUCCCUCUUCAUUUCUCUGUGGCCUCAUAGAUGAUUGGCCUCUCCAAAACCACCUUCAUCUUUGUCCUUCAUUCAUAUGCAUUUGCCCCCAUUCAUCUUUGCCACUGUUUCAUACCUCCCACCACGCCCUCAAAACUCUUCCUGGUAGAUCAUUUCUCCCAUGAGGAUAAUGGGAUAAUUUCCUGUCUUCCUUUAUCUCCUCUUUGGAUGUCAUCUCCUAACCCUCCUUCCUUGCUUCCUGGGUUUUCCUUCCAGUGCGAUACCCUUGUCCCCGGCUCCCGUGCUCUCUUCUCCAAUCCCUGGCUUUCUGAAUCUCUCCUGUCACGUGCAGUCUAGUCAGACACACCUUCCUGGCUUCUGUACCCAUUUGUACUCACUAGUCAAGCCUGUCAAGUCCCUUCUCCUCCUGCUUCCUCACCUGAUGGUCCUGGGCUUUCUUCAUCUACCACGGCCUCCGGGGGGUACCCUGAUGUGCUAGGCUGGGGGCUCUGGCCCUCAGACUGGGCGGACGGUUGACAACUGGCCAUGAUUUCUCCCAAGCUCUUUGUGCCCUCCCAGGAGACUCAGACCCUCCUCUUCUCAAACUCCCCUUCUGGCUUCUGGGUGAACCCAAGCCCUGUUAUCCCUUCUCUAAGCCGGGGCCAAGCUAGGAGUAUGGACAUGCUCUGCGAAGAUGCUCUUGUCCACCUCCGUUGCCAAGAACCAUGGAGUCCAGUCUUUCCAAUCAGGAAGGUCAGAAGCCUCUGAUGUCAUGCACCAUUCCAGCCUGGCAGCCAUUUGAAGGAAGACACGUGCAACUGCGAGACCGAGGUCCACUUCUGGAGUUCAGGAUCAAGGCUAUCUCAUGUCGCCGAUCCAGCCUGCAACCGUCCUCCAAAACUGUCCUCGGGGUGUCUGGAUCACUCUACUCCUCUCCAGCAGAUGCGGGGCUCUCUGCAUCCUUCUAUUCCUGUUUCACGGUGCAGUCUGGCAGCAGAGGGAGGAAACAGACGAGGGAAGACCUAGAGACACCCUAGGAAGACGGCUUGCAGUGCUAACUCACAGAACAGAAUUCUGGGAUUGGGGAGACGGGAAGAGGUUCUGGAUACCGACUUCG